UUUGAUCUUUUGAUCUAUUGAGAAAUACACAAGAACUCUCUUGAGAAGUUCAUCUCUUGGAUUUUGAUUGUUAUGUUCUUGUGUUAUUGUUGAUUUCUUAUCUAUUUCUCUACAUGAUUAAUCUGAAAUCCAAUAUGGGUUUAAGAGGAAUCAUGGAGAUUAGUGAGUAAUCACUUUGUGAAUUCAUAGGUUAGGGAGAUUAAGGGUGAUUAGGUUAGAGCUAGGAUGUUUUAGUGUAGAUCAUUCAUAUUUCCUUGCUAGUAGAGUAAUCAUAAUGCAUCUUCU
rnacentral:lncRNA from 1 species